UGUCGUCAGCUCGUGCCGUGAGGUGUCGGCUUAAGUGCCAUAACGAGCGCAACCCUACCUUUAGUUGCCAUCAGGUAAUGCUGGGGACUCUAAAGGAACUGCCUACGCAAGUAGUGAGGAAGGCGGGGAUGACGUCAAAUCAGCACGGCCCUUACGUCCAGGGCUACACACGUGCUACAAUGGCCGAUACAGAGGGCAGCUACCUGGUGACAGGAUGCAAAUCUCCAAAGUCGGUCUCAGUUCGGAUCGGAGUCUGCAACCCGACUCCGUGAAGUUGGAUUCGCUAGUAAUCGCGCAUCAGCCAUGGCGCGGUGAAUACGUUCCCGGGCCUU
rnacentral:rRNA from 1 species